rnacentral:rRNA from 1 species
GACGAACGCUGGCGGCGUGCCUAAUACAUGCAAGUUGAGCGCUGAAGGCUGGUACUUGUGCCAACUGGGUGAGCCGCGCACGGGUGAGUAACGCGUGUGGCCUCUGCCUUUGAGCGGGGGACAACAUGUGGAAACGAAUGCUAAUACCGCAUAAAAACUUUAAACACAGGUGUGAAGUUUGAAAGAUGCAAUUGCAUCACUCACAGAUGAUCCCUCGUUGUAUUAGCUUGGUGGUGAGGUAAAAGCUCACCGAGGUGAGGUUACAUAGCCAACCUGAGAGGGUGGUCAGCCACAUUGGGAGUGUGACACGGCCCAAAGGCCUUCGGGAGGCAGCAGUAGGGAAACUGCGGCCAGGGGCGAAAGUCUGACCGAGAAGCGCCGCGUGAGGAAAGAAGGUUGUCGGGUCGGAAAACUCGGUUGGUAGAGAAGAACGUUGGUGAGAGUGGAAAGAACAGUGAGUGACGGUAACUACUAAGGAAGGAACGGCUAACUACGUG